CCUACGGGGGGCUGCAGUAAGGAAUAUUGGUCAAUGGAGGAAACUCUGAACCAGCCAUCCCGCGUGAAGGAUGAAGGGGCUCUGCCUUGUAAACUUCUUUUGUCUGGGGCGAAAAAGCUCGAUUUAUCGAGAACUGACGGUACCAGAAGAAUAAGCACCGGCUAACUCCGUGCCAGCAGCCGCGGUAAUACGGAGGGUGCACGCGUUAUCCGGAAUCACGGGGUUGUAAGCGUCUUAGUAAGGCAGAGGUGAUAGGCUGUGGCUUAACCAUGGAAUUGCCAUUGAUACUGCAGAGAGUGAAUGAGGUUGAGGUUGGCGGAAUGUGACAUGUAGCGGUGAAAUGCUUAGAUAUGUCAUGGAACACCGAUUGCGAAGGCAGCUGACUGGACCUAUAUUGACGCUGAGGCACGAAAGCGUGGGGAGCGAACAGGAUUAGAUACCCUAGUAGUC
rnacentral:rRNA from 1 species